CCUCUCCCCGCAGCGCUCCACCUCUCGCCGAUGUCUCUGCAAAAAGCAGGCACAAGAAGCCACCUCAGCUAGCAGUAUGUCUCGACGAAAGCAAGCUAAGCCCCAACAUCUCAAAUCCGACGAGGAGCUACAAGCUGAGGUGCUUCCCGAACAAGUGCCAGGAGAAGGAGCAGAUGAUGGUGAUAGUGGGAAUGAAAGCCGGAGUGGAAGCGAGGAAACAAAUGUUUGUGAAAAAUGUUGUGCAGAAUUCUUCAAGUGGAGUGAUUUCUUGGAACACAAGAAGAACUGCACUAAAAAUCCACUGGUGCUCAUUGUGAAUGAAGAUGAAGCCACCCCAGCUCCUGAAGAAUUUGCAGAGCCUUCUCCUGCAAGCUCACCUAGCGAUCAAGCAGAUAGCGAGGCUUGUGAAGAAAGCGUUCAAGCUGAGAACAAUGAGAUCUCUGAGAUAAAGAAUACAGAAAAGGAAGAAGAACCCAUGGAGGUAGAACCUUCUGUAGAAAAAAGCUACUCCAAUCCAGGCACCUCUAGUACAGCUACGCCACUACCUCAAAUUAGCGAGCCACCUUCUUUGACAGGUUAUAACAUGCCAAACACUAAUGUAACCUUAGAGACAUUGUUGAGCACUAAAGUGGCAGUUGCACAAUUCUCGCAGAGUACAAGGUGUGCAGCUAACGCAACCACAGCGAGUGGGGUUACAGCAAUGGCCAUCCCAAUGAUUCUCGAGCAGUUGAUGGCAUUGCAACAGCAGCAGAUUCACCAGUUGCAGCUGAUCGAACAGAUCCGGAGUCAGGUGGCAAUGAUGAACCGACAGCCAUUACGUCCCACUUUAAACACGACUCCUUCCCAAAGCACUCCUGUGCAAGCCACUAACCAGCUCCAGGGAUUUGCAGCAAACUCUGCUCUUCAGUUAGCAGCAGUUGUUCCUUCUGCCGUAGUGGCUCAAGCCGCUGGCAACCCACCAACUGCCUUUGAGAGUACUCAGCACAUAUCAAGGCCCACGUCAGGUGCAAGCACUCCUAAUAUGUCAAGCAAUGGUUCUUCUGUCCCAAAUGAAACAAGCACACCAUCUUCCUCUAAUGCAAUUACUUCUUCUUCAUUAACACCGGUUUCUGUGUCAAAUAUUACUAGCAGCUCUUCACAGCCCCCAAACCCUUCAACUCCACCUUCAGUAGGACCUGGAAAUCUCCUCGCCUCAACUUCCAGCCUGCCAAACCCACUUCUACCUCAGACUUCAUCCAGUAGUGUAAUUUUCCCCAACCCGCUGGUUAGCAUAGCUGCAACAGCUAAUGCAUUGGAUCCUCUCUCUGCUCUUAUGAAGCAUCGCAAAGGAAAGCCACCAAAUGUAUCCGUUUUUGAGCCUAAGACAAGUUCUGAGGACCCUUUUUUUAAACAUAAAUGUAGAUUUUGUGCCAAGGUUUUUGGGAGUGAUAGCGCUCUACAGAUUCACCUGCGUUCACACACAGGAGAAAGACCUUUUAAGUGUAACAUUUGUGGCAAUCGGUUUUCUACUAAAGGCAAUCUGAAAGUUCAUUUUCAGAGACAUAAAGAAAAGUAUCCACACAUUCAGAUGAAUCCAUAUCCGGUUCCAGAGUACCUUGACAAUGUUCCCACUUGUUCCGGAAUUCCAUACGGGAUGUCAUUGCCACCCGAAAAACCAGUUACUACAUGGCUGGAUAGCAAGCCCGUUUUAUCAACUGUCCCAACUUCAAUUAGUCUACAACUUCCCCCUACAAUACAAGGGGUAAACAGUUAUGGGGAUUCCCCAAGUAUUACUCCCAUGAACAGAUCACCCCAGAGGACAUCCCCCGUGUCAAGUGAAUGCACUUCUUUAUCCCCAAGCCUAAACAAUUCUGAGUCAGGCAUUCCUUUGUCUGCAGAAUCCCCACAACCAAUUCAUGGUAGUUCAACCAUGACUAAAACUGAACCUGUCAAUAUUCCAGUAACAAAUGCAAGGCUGGGAGAUAUUUCUAUAAGUGGUCAGGUUUCUGUAGUACCCACCUCUACAGCUUCUAGUGCUGUUACUGAAAGCAGUAUUUCUACAAGCCUCCCAAACACUGUGCUUCCAGCAUUGUCUGACCAGUUCAAGGCUAAAUUUCCAUUUGGUGGUCUAUUGGACUCUAUGCAAACAUCAGAAACCUCAAAACUGCAACAGCUAGUAGAAAACAUUGAUAAGAAGAUGACAGAUCCAAAUCAGUGUGUCAUUUGUCACCGUGUGCUCAGUUGUCAGAGUGCUCUCAAGAUGCAUUAUAGAACUCAUACAGGAGAAAGACCAUUUAAAUGCAAAAUUUGUGGACGUGCGUUUACUACAAAAGGCAAUCUAAAAACACAUUUUGGAGUUCAUCGAGCGAAGCCACCACUUAGAGUACAGCAUUCAUGUCCCAUUUGUCAGAAGAAAUUUACAAAUGCUGUUGUUCUUCAGCAGCAUAUUCGUAUGCAUAUGGGUGGACAAAUUCCAAACACGCCAUUACCAGAUGGUUUCCAAGAUGCUAUGGACUCAGAGCUUUCUUUUGAUGAAAAGAAUGCAGAGACACUAAGCAACUAUGAUGAUGAUAUCGAUGAAAAUUCCAUGGAGGAGGACAUUGAAUUAAAAGAUAAUGUAAGAGACCCCUCCAAGCCACUUCUACCUUAUUCUGGAUCAUGUCCAUCUUCUCCCCCAUCUGUAAUUUCUAGCAUUGCUGCUCUUGAGAAUCAAAUGAAAAUGAUUGAUUCUGUCAUGAACUGCCAACAGUUGACCAAUUUAAAAUCUUUAGAAAAUGGGUCAGGGGAAAGUGACCACUUAAGCAAUGAUUCUUCAUCAGCUGCUGGAGAUCUGGAAAGUCAAAGUGCAGGAAGUCCUGCCAUGUCAGAAUCGUCUUCAUCCAUGCAAGCUCUCUCUCCUGAAAAUAGCAACUGUGAAAGUUUUAGAUCUAAGUCACCAGGUUUUGGUAACCACGAGGAACCACAAGAAAUACAAUUAAAGACAGAAAAAUCUGACAGUCCCCCACCACCUACUAUUGAAAAUGGAGGCGCAUUGGAUCUGACAGCCACCAACCCCGGGAGACCAAUCAUCAAAGAAGAAGGUCCUUUUAGCCUGCUGUUCCUGAACAGAGAACGCGGUCCCAGCCAAAGUACUCCUAGCCUGGUCACCAGCACUGCGCCUACUAUGAUCAAAAUGGAAGUGAAUGGUCACAGCAAGCCGAUCUCAUUGGGUGAGGUUCCAUCGCUUCCAGCUGGAAUCCAGGUUCCUGCUGCACCACAGACAGUGAUGAGUCCUAGCAUCACCCCUAUGCUGGCACCCCCACCACGUCGAACUCCAAAACAACACAACUGUCAGUCAUGUGGGAAGACCUUCUCUUCAGCAAGUGCACUACAGAUACAUGAACGCACCCAUACUGGUGAAAAGCCAUUUGGAUGCACUAUCUGUGGUAGAGCUUUUACCACAAAAGGGAAUCUUAAGGUUCACAUGGGAACUCAUAUGUGGAAUAAUGCUCCUGCACGGCGUGGGCGUCGAUUGUCCGUGGAAAAUCCCAUGGCUUUGUUAGGUGGGGAUGCUUUGAAGUUUUCAGAAAUGUUCCAGAAGGAUUUAGCAGCUCGGGCAAUGAAUGUUGACCCAAAUUUUUGGAACCAGUAUGCUGCAGCUAUUACUAAUGGACUUGCUAUGAAGAACAAUGAAAUUUCUGUCAUACAGAACGGAGGCAUUCCCCAGCUCCCAGUUUAUCUCAUGAGCUUCAUGUCUCCUUCCUACAAAUGAAUGUGAAGCCAAAGAUGCAAUCCUAAUCCAAUUUAUGUGGAAAUUGCUAUGCAAUCCUAUAACAAUUCUCUCAGAAGCAAGUUUCACUGACUUGAGUGGAAUUUACAUGUUGUUAAAUGAAUCACUGCAGGUGUUAAGUGAAUCUGGAUUCCCCAUUGACUUUGCUUGUCAGAAGGUCGCAAAAGGGGAUCAGAUGACCCUGGGACACUGCAACCAUCAUAAAUAUGAGCCAGUUGCCAAGCAUCUGAAUUUUGAUCAUGUGACUAUGGGGAUGCUGCAACUAUACCUUGAGCUACACGAGACUGCCAUUAUUCUUUCAUUUUACUCAGAUUUAUAUCCACACAGAAGACAUCCAGAUCCAUUUAGAGAUUAGUAAAUUGGGGAAUAACAACUCUUCAGUGGCUCAAGAGGAGGAAUGUGCAAAACAUAUCAUUCAAGGAAUGGUAUACUCUGGAAAUACCAAAUGUUCCUUCGUCCCCCCCCCCCCCCCGGUGAAUGGUGCAUUUUGUCCAUCCCUAUUUCAGAUUUAAAUCAUGGUCCUCCAGCUUUUAGAAGAAGGUGGUCCAUCAGCGUUAGUAUUCCAUUUCCUCCAUAAAGGUAUAUUUAUUUAUUAUUUACAUUUUAUUUAUUUAUAUUAUUUAGGGAUACUGCACCUAUCCCAGGAUCCUUGGCAGAUUACCACCAUACCAAAAGAAAUACCAUAGCAUCUAAUAAAAUAUCUCUAAAACCACUCCAAACUCCAACCAGCCCAAUGUCAUUACUACACCUUCAAAGGUCCAUCUAAUUAAAAUAGUUUUGACUGUCUUCUUCAUGGCCAAUAAUGAAAGAGUCAAAUCUAUCUCUUUGAGCAAGAAUAUCAGAGCCACAAGAUUAGACUGCCUUCUUCGUAUCUAUUUUCGGAUUUAGAAGAAUAGAUAGUUACGUUAAAGUAAUAUUAGGUCAAUUGGGUUUAGUGUGCACAAACAACCGGACAGCAUAAUUUGAUAUUAAACUCCAUGUCUAGUAAAAUACAUUUUAGCUGUUUUGAAAAUUCCUUUAUCUCCAAUAUAAAAUAGAUGUCAGACAGUUGGUUGAUCCACUAAAUACUUAUGCCUGAGGCAGUUGCAAGAGACUGACUUCUCUCACUCUUCUGCGUAUUAUGUGUUUUCUACUGAUAAUGUAAUGCCCUGAUGAAUUCAAUUUCCCUUUUAUAAAGGAUGCUUUGUUGAUUCAGACAGAGAUAUAGGAUAAAAGUAUACAACUGAAUUUAAGCACGAUUUGUUUCUUCUGAAAUAAAUCAAGACAGUUCUUACAGAUAACUUUUGUAACCUGAUACCCUCUGUAUUUGAACUGUGGUUCCCAGAACUUCUAGCAAACAAGGUUUUCAAUAUCCCAAAAUAUUUGGAGGGCAUCAGGAUAUGAACAACUGAGAAAAAGAACUGUGGCUACAUCAAGACCCAAAUGUAAGUAAUUAGAAAUACAUUAAUCUACAUAAUAGCUUUUAGAUGCCCAACUUCAGAUACAUUCUGAAAAAAUAUAUAGAGACAAAAGCCUCUUCUUUAAAUGGAUCACUUUUAUAUUACUAAGUAAAGCUAGUUACUUACAUGGCUGUAGCUUAAAAUAAGGAAGUUAUACCAGCAAUUCUUAUACCAAUUAGCUCUAUGGUAGAGACAUUAUAGAUGUAUGCAAAUAAAGAUUAAACGAGGUAUUAACCAACAUGAAGUUUCUAAUAAGGUCAUAAUUGACAUAUGAAUAUAAAAAUAUUGUAAAUAUCACACAGGGCAAACUGAUAUUUUUACAUGAAUGUGGAAUUGUGUAUCAAAAUGUACAGAAGGCGUUAAGUGGAUGACAGGUUUUCUUCCCAGGCUGGUAGAAGUUAUUGAUUCAAGCCAAUUUAGCUAUCCCAGUUGUUUGAACAUCUGCCAGGAGCUUGCUAUCUAAAUAACCUUCUGUUUUCCUGUGUGCUGUGUUGAGGGGUUGUGUAAUUAUUUUUUUGUAAUAAAGAGAGAGACUCCUUAAAACAUCAAGAAUUACUUCUAAUCUGAAUUAUCCAAAUUCCACUCUGGGAAUAUAUAUCCAGAUUACUCAAUGUUCCCUUAGAAGAGGAGGCAGAUGUUCAUGAUUGUGAAACAGAUAUUUUAAGUUAUGGGGUUGUGUGUUGCUCUCCUCCCCCGCUUUUUAUUUUUCUUAUUCUGCUGUUCUACGCUCAGCCAUACUUUGAAUACACAGUGGUAGGCAUAUGGACAAUUUUUAAUCUCCCAAUGAAGUAAAUAUUUGCAUAUCCUCAGUAACAGGAGUACACUAACCGUAGUACACAUACUGUUUAGUUUUCAUUUGGCUGCCAGUUAAAGAAACAAAAUUCUUUCGGAACUAUAACACAAAGAAAUGAAGCUUCUUGACUCAUUAUAGGAAGAUAAAGCUUUCAAAUAUGAGCAAAUUAGAAUUGGUUUAAAAUAUACUGAGCUCUUUUAAUGACAUUGUGUCUUUUUCUUCAGUAUUUUAUUUCAGAUUUUGUACAGAAUCUUUUCGAUUUUUUUUGUAAGGCAACUUUAUAUACACUGAGAAAUGGAGAGACAGAACAUUUAAUAUAUCAACUGCAAUGAAGAGCAUAUACUAUAGUUGUCUCAAAAAUGGUAUAGCUAAGUAGAUUCAAUUUAUAGGUUUAGAAAACAAAUAUAUGAAUAAAAUGAUAAUUAAAAAACCCUCCCUGAAUAAUAUUGUAUUUUCAAAACAGACUUUAAAGGGAACAAAAAUAAAAACACCCUCAUAAUUCCAUAGGUUCCUGAUAUUGCUAAAAUAUAUCUUAAGAAGCAAAAAGAGAAAGGAGAAGAAGCUGAAAUGAAUGAAAAACUGCAUAGAUCCCUCAAAAAGUAAUCCUUUCGAAAGCAACUACAAUCCUGAGUAAUUGGGAAAGGGUGGAGAACCUCAACCUAUCAGGUGGCCAAUCCAACCCCUCAGGGCUUCAAAUUACUUCUUCCUGCCCCAAUAAUUAGAUCUACUCAUGCAGUUUCCUCCUAUAGUGCAUAUGCAAGAAUAAGACACAGUAAAUUUAAGUAGGAUCUACUCUGCAUAUUCCUCAAUUGACUGCCAGGUUAAAUUACUGCUGAAGACCUAUAUGAUUCAAACCUUCCAUGUUCUAGAAGUAGAUCCCAUCAAACAAAACGGAAUAAAUUUAUAUCUCAUUAUGCAUACAGAGAAAAAUAAUUUUGAUAGAACCAGUUUGGUAUUGUGGUUAAGACAUCAAGUAGAAACCUAGAGAGGAUGAAUGCUCAUAAAUCUGGCCUUAGAUAAAAAGCCAGCUGGGUGAUUUGGGGCCAGACACACUCUCUCUCAACCCUAGGAAGAAGGAACUGCUAUGUCACUUCUGAAAAUAAUGCCAAAAUUCCCAAAGAAAAUUCAAGCAAGAAGGGAUCUCUCUCCCUCUCCUUCAUAUAAUCAUGAACGCAUUUUCAGAGAAGAAGAUGUAUUGGAUAUGUUUGCCACUUUGAAUAUUUGUAGAAAUAAAGGCAGGAUGUAAAUACAUAAAUAAAGAUUGCAUUGAAAUCAUAAUGCAAACAAUCCAUUUUUAUUUCCAGUAUAUUUGAAUACAGAUAGACAUACAUACACG